GACGAACGCUGGCGGCGUGCUUAACACAUGCAAGUCGAACGGAAAGGCCCUGCUUUUGUGGGGUGCUCGAGUGGCGAACGGGUGAGUAACACGUGAGUAACCUGCCCUUGACUUUGGGAUAACUUCAGGAAACUGGGGCUAAUACCGGAUAGGAGCUCCUGCUGCAUGGUGGGGGUUGGAAAGUUUCGGCGGUUGGGGAUGGACUCGCGGCUUAUCAGCUUGUUGGUGGGGUAGUGGCUUACCAAGGCUUUGACGGGUAGCCGGCCUGAGAGGGUGACCGGCCACAUGGGGACGGGGAGACGGCCCAGACCCCUACGGGGGGCAGCAGGGGGGAAUAUUGCACAAGGGGCGGAAGCGUGAUGCAGCAACGCCGGGUGGGGGAUGACGGCCUUGGGGUGGUAAACCGCUUUCGCCUGUGACGAAGCGUGGGUGACGGUAAUGGGUAAAGAAACACCGGCUAACUACGU
rnacentral:rRNA from 1 species